AAUCAACGCUGGCGGCGUGCCUCAGACAUGCAAGUCGAACGCGAAAGUCCCCCCUCGGGGGGACAAGUAGAGUGGCGCACGGGUGAGUAACACGUAGGUAAUCUACCUUCGGGUGGGGAAUAACAAUCGGAAACGGUUGCUAAUACCGCAUAAUGCAGCGGCACCUAAUGGUGACAGUUGUUAAAGCGGGGGAUCGCAAGAUCUCGCGCCUGAAGAGGAGCCUGCGGCGGAUUAGCUAGUUGGUAGGGUAAUGGCCUACCAAGGCGACGAUCCGUAGCCGGCCUGAGAGGGCGGUCGGCCACACUGACACUGACAUACGGGUC
rnacentral:rRNA from 1 species